ACAGGCAUGUGCCACCAAGCCUGGCUAAUUUUUUCAUUUUUAUUUUUUGUAGAGAUGGGGUCUUGCUGUGUUGCCCAGGAUGGUCUCGAACUCUUGGCCUCAAGCAAUCCUCAGUCUCCCAAAAUGUUGGGAUCAUAGGUGUGAGCCCCUGUGCCUGGCCAAAUUUUUUUUUUGAAAGGCUAACCAAUAAAAAAUGAACCAAAUUUACAAGAACAAAACAGCCCCAUCAAAAAGUGGCCAAAGGAUAUGAACAGACACUUCUCAAAAGAAGACAUUUUUGUGGUUAACAAACAUACCAAAAAAACCUCAUCAUCACUGGUCAUUAGAGAAAUGCAAAUCAAAACCGCAAUGAGAUAUCAUCUCAUGCCAGUUAGAAUGGCGAUCAUUAAAAAGUCAGGAGACAACAGAUGUUGGAGAGGAUGUGGAGAAAUAGGAACACUUUUACACUGUUGGUGGGAGUGUAAAUUAGUUCAACUACUGUGGAAGACAGUGUGGCAAUUCCUCAAGAAUCUAGAAAUAGAAAUACCAUUUGACCCAGCAAUCCCAUUACUGGGUAUAUACCCAAAGGAUUAUAAAUCAUUCUACUAUAAAGACACAUGCACAUGUAUGUUUAUUGUGGCACUAUUUACGAUAGCAAAGACUUGGAACCAACUGAAGUGCCCAUCAAUGAUGGACUGGAUAAAGAAAAUGUGGCACAUAUACACAGUGGAAUACUAUGCAGCCAUAAAGAAGGAUGAGUUCAUGUCCUUUGCAGGGACAUGGAUGAAUCUGGAAACCAUCAUUCCUGGCAAACUAACACAGGAACAGAAAACGAAAGACCACAUGUUUUCACUAAUAAGUAGGAGUUGAACAGUGAGAACGCAUGGACACAGGGAGGGGAACAUCACACACCGGGGCCUUUUGGGGGUUGGGGGUCCAGGGGAGGGAUAGCAUUAGAAGAAAUACCUAAUGUAGAUGAUGGGUUGAUGGGUGCAGCAAACCGCCAUGGCAUGUGUAUACCUACGUAACAAACCUGCACAUUCUGCACAUGUAUCUCAGAAAUUAAAAUUAAAAAAGGGGGAAAAAGUUUAAAAAAUUAACCAAUCAGGAAAGUACACAGAAGAACAGUAGGACAAUUUCUCUUCCUUUGAGCUUCCUGCCUGACCCUUGGGCUUCGUCACUUCUUUGGCUUACCAGCUCCCAUCCUUCAAAGUUUCUGAGUUGUUAUUCUGUGGAGAAUUUGAGCUACUCUCUUUCUUUAGACCCAGGCCAUCUAAGGUGGGUCCAGAGAGCCUCACUCACCUCCCCAACUAAGCAAGCAUACCUGGAGGUAAGCAAGCAUACCUGGAGGUGUGUUCUUCAUGCAAGGGCAGUUUCUGCUCUGAGAGAAUUUAAUUUGGUUAGCUCAAUUAAAGGGGUUAUAUUCUUUUCCCUUUCACAUGGGAGAAAGUAGCUGAAGUCUACUGACCAAUGAAAUUCUCUGUGAAGAGUCUGGGAGGGAGGGUUUAGAUAAUUCAUCUACAAGGGUGCUCAGAGAGUUUGGAGAGAAGCAAUUGGUGUCGUUAUGAUGGCAUUCUACAGCACAGUACUUGCAUUGCACCAGGCACUCUUUAAAAAACUCUGCAAGUGUUCAUUCAUUUAAUUCUAACCACAACCCUGCAAGGGACUUCCUGUUAUUGUCCACAUUUUACCAAAGAGGAAGCUGAAGCAGGGAGGUUAACUACCUUGACCAAGUGCCUUUCCUCCUUUGAGGAAAAGGAGCCAAAGGUUCAGCCAUGACCAAAUCAUAUCCCUCUUCUCAUCCAACCACCCAACCAUUCCACAGGUAGCCUGACCAGCCACUUUUAUACAAAGCACAGUAUUCAGAUUGGAAUAAAAAUAUAUCUCCUUCACUCCCUGCUCUGAGAGGUGUUUCCUCUCAGACUUCCAGGAGCUGGAUUGAGGAAAAUGGCUUAGUUGGUACAGUAUAACAAAAUGUCCUGCUUGUUGAAACUGAAUUUGUGAUUAUCUUCUUUUUCAUCAAGAAGUCAUUGAGGGGUGUUGUAUCCCUAUAAAAGGAGAAUUUAGGGUAGCCAAAUAAAAAGGGUGUAAUGUAGUCUCAUUACAGGAAAAGAAAGUGUGAGCAGCCUUUUAGUAGUUGAUUGCCUCAAGAUGUGGCAUUCAGCCAGGGUGAAGGGAAAGUGGUUGGGGCUGCGGAUCUGGAGGUUUACAGAAGCCUGUAUCCAUCUUGAGACUCAAUUACGCUGUUGGUCUUCAGCCAGAGAAGUGUCUGCAUCUACUGAGAGUAAAAAAUCAUCCCACUGCACUCCAGCCUGGGCAAUAGAGUGAGACUCAGUCUCAAAAAAAAAAAAAAAAAAAAAGUCCAGGUGAGAGGUUAUCAUGGCUCACACUAGGGUGAUGACAAAGGAAAUGCAAAGAGAUGGAUCAAUGCAAGAACUAAUCUAGAGGUAGAACAAUGGGACUUACUGACAUGGAUGGUGAAGGAGAGUUCAGAGGCAGCACCCAUCUUGAGAUUUGAUUGAACAAUUGGUAAAUGAUGGUGCCAUUCACUGAAAGAGAGGAAACUAAAGAAGGAACAGGUUUUCAUGACCUGUUAUGAUUCCAUUUAGUUUGAGUUGCCUAUUAUAAUUCCAAGUGGAUGUGGGGAGUAAAAAAUGGGUUGUAUGAAUCUGGAGUUCAUAGAAGAGGUCAGGGUUGAAUGUGUAAAUUUGGGAAAUGGUAUGAAAUUCCACAGAAAUUGGUAAUACAACAUGUAGAACUGAACGAUCAUGAAAAAUCUGUUUUUCAGCCAAGCUUGUAGAAUGCAACUCAA